rnacentral:rRNA from 1 species
GAUGAACGCUGGCGGCGUGCCUAAUACAUGCAAGUCGAGCGAACAGACGAGGAGCUUGCUCCUCUGACGUUAGCGGCGGACGGGUGAGUAACACGUGGAUAACCUACCUAUAAGACUGGGAUAACUUCGGGAAACCGGAGCUAAUACCGGAUAAUAUAUUGAACCGCAUGGUUCAAUAGUGAAAGACGGUUUUGCUGUCACUUAUAGAUGGGUCCGCGCCGCAUUAGCUAGUUGGUAAGGUAACGGCUUACCAAGGCAACGAUGCGUAGCCGACCUGAGAGGGUGAUCGGCCACACUGGAACUGAGACACGGUCCAGACUCCUACGGGAGGCAGCAGUAGGGAAUCUUCCGCAAUGGGCGAAAGCUUGACGGAGCAACGCCGCGUGAGUGAUGAAGGUCUUCGGAUCGUAAAACUCUGUUAUUAGGGAAGAACAAAUGCGUAAGUAACUAUGCACGUCUUGACGGUACCUAAUCAGAAAGCCACGGCUAACUACGUG